ACGGGGAUGCGGAGAUGGCCGACGGUGGCUGAGAUGUUAGCUCUUGUGUGCCUUGGCACGGCAUGCUGGGAGAAUGCCCGGAGAUGUUCAGAGCAUCCUCAGCCGGGCUGCUCAGCCUCUGGCAUCUUUGCUCCCCGGUGCCUUUAUCAGCCUGAGAGGGAGACAGACAGAGAGAAAAGCGCCCUUGGUGAGAUUGCUUCAGUCCGGACCCUCUUUGUCAGUGGCCUCCCUCUGGACAUCAAGCCUCGGGAGCUUUAUCUGCUCUUCAGACCAUUUAAGGGCUAUGAAGGUUCCCUAAUAAAGCUGACAUCCAAGCAGCCCGUUGGCUUUGUCAGUUUUGAUAGUCGAUCAGAAGCGGAAGCUGCUAAGAAUGCGCUGAACGGCAUUCGCUUCGAUCCUGAAAUUCCCCAGACGCUGCGACUAGAGUUUGCCAAGGCGAACACAAAGAUGGCAAAGAACAAACUCGUCGGGACCCCGAACCCCAGCACUCCUUUGCCCAGUACCGCCCCCCAGCUCAUCGCCAGGGAGCCGUAUGAGCUCACAGUGCCUGCACUUUAUCCCAGCACCCCCGAAGUGUGGGCCCCGUACCCUCUGUACCCAGCGGAGUUGACGCCUGCUCUACCCCCUCCUGCUUUCACCUAUCCCGCUUCACUGCAUGCCCAGCUCCCUUGCUGUGCCGGAGCUGUGCCCUCCUGGGACCCACGACCCCCCAGUGACAGAAGACUGAUGUGUGUGACCCUGGUUCCUGUAGAAGGAGGGGCCGCUGACCAGCAGAGGAAGCCCUCGGAGGCCUAUGCGCUGGCUCCCUCCCUCCGAGGCUACUUCUCAGGGCUGGAAGUCCCGUCAGUUCUGCUGAAUACUGUGUACCAGGUGUGUGAUGGCGGCUACACUUUGUCUUGCGGGUAUUGAUACGAUCUUCGGCAGUGGCUGCUGGCUUCGUGAGCUGUUUCGCAAGACUGCAGCUUACUGGCUUGAAUGAAGCAUCACCUGGUUUAAUUCCUCCAAGACGUUGCCACAGCCUCUAUCACACAUCUGUACUUGUCGAAGAAAAAGUAUAAUAAUGAAUAAAAAAUGUUUUUUCUCUUUUACACUGUAUAACAUAAGAAAUAGUGUUUCUGCGAACGCGUGGUCUGCCCUCCAUUGCUGGAGUUUGAAUGAAGUGUUAAACCUCACGUAAGCACGCAGCAAGAGAGUGUCUUUUAUGCUGAACGUCAUAAGGCUGCCUGGAUGAGCGAGCACACGCUGGGUUGGAUCACAGUUUUGUGUUUGACUUUUGAAUGCUUAGAAUCAGUUUCUGCUUGUUCCGCUCUUAAGCCGCAUGUUUGGGGAAUUUUCAAAAAUCCGAUCAGCUCUUUUGUAUCGUGAGUUUAUGUAUUUUUGUCGUUCUGGUUUGAGUCUUGGGGAAGGUCCCACGUGGUGUGCGUGUCAGACACAAAGUUGUCCGCAGUUGUGGAGUUAGCUUUCAGCUCCCAAUUCCACUAGCUUAUUUAGGCCAGACAGUGUGGAUCACUGGCCAGGGAAGCUUCUUUUCUUGGUAUGUUCACAGCCAGAUGAGCCGACGUUUCUGGGUCUCGGCCCCAUAGCCAGGGAGUUGUGCCAGGACCAAGCCACAGGGUCGUUCCAGACUGGGUGGGAGAGAGUGCCUUGCUCUUCUGCUUGUUAUCCUCCCCCUUAUGGAGGAGCACCUAGGGGAAGGGAGGAGCCCUUGGUCCCCUUGUAGGCAGGCCUCUCACCGGGUUCUGCCAACAUUAGGCUAGGUCUCUGGAUCUUCGGCAGCCUAGCCAAACAUAACCCUGUUUUCUGUUCAUGAGAAAAUGUCCGCCCAGCCCAGAAGGAGCUGGUGCGAACCCUGUGCAGCACCAUGUCUCAAGAGGGACCUCCUCAGAACUAGUCAUGACUCUCCUUUUGGUCCUGAGUUUGUCUGAGCAGCUUGUCUGAUACCUGAGAGGCUAAUAAACAUGGUCACCAUUUUAUCA